rnacentral:rRNA from 1 species
GACGAACGCUGGCGGCGUGCUUAACACAUGCAAGUCGAACGGAAAGGCCCUGCUUUUGUGGGGUGCUCGAGUGGCGAACGGGUGAGUAACACGUGAGUAACCUGCCCUUGACUUUGGGAUAACUUCAGGAAACUGGGGCUAAUACCGGAUAGGAGCUCCUGCUGCAUGGUGGGGGUUGGAAAGUUUCGGCGGUUGGGGAUGGACUCGCGGCUUAUCAGCUUGUUGGUGGGGUAGUGGCUUACCAAGGCUUUGACGGGUAGCCGGCCUGAGAGGGUGACCGGCCAAAAUGGGACUGAGAUUCCGGCCAGAAUCCUACGGGAGGGAGGAGUGGGGAAUAAUGCACAAUUGGCGGGAGCCUGAUGCAGCAACGCCGCGUGCGGGAUGACGGCCUUCGGGUUGUAAACCGCUUUCGCCUGUGACGAAGCGUGAGUGACGGUAAUGGGUAAAGAAGCACCGGCUAACUACGUG